CUGCGAGGGUCUUGAUAUUAGUUUUUUUUAAGUUAGGCAUGAUACUAGUCCAAUCAUACAUGAAAAAACCCCAACCUUUCACUCACCUGUAGUGUUGUUUUCUUUUUUCUUUUAAACGCACUGUAGUAGGGGCUUAAACGGAUUUAACUCCUGCCUGUGAAGUUUUUGUUUUCUAAAACAGGAGAUUUAUUCCUUAACAACUUAGUGCAGAGAUAAGUGUUGACCCGUUGGGGCUUUGAAUAUUACAGAUCUGCCAUAGGUCAAGUAGCACUUCUAUGAUCAUCCAUGAUCCCUAUUGAUACAGGUUAGAACAGGGAUACAUCCUGAAAUCCGCGAGCUUUGAUGCCCACCGAAUUGUUAUCUCCAGGAGUGAAGAUCAUCUUGGAUUUCGUCCUAGACAGAAAGGAGAUAAUCUGAAGAAUCUGCUGCCUGAUGGACCAAUGUCCAGGAUGAUCGAGCACAUGAUUAUGCUGGCAAGCCAACGGGAUACUUUGGUUAUGACCGAUCUGCUUCGCUUCCUUGAGGCCUAGGUACCGAAUUGCCUAGCCAUCGAUCUAAGUGCUCAGGCAGUCAGGCCUACUGUCGCUGCCCAUUGGAAUUCGCUGAUCAUUCAGCUGCCGCGGCUUUGGGCCAGCCGGCUUGGCCGAUAGGCGCCACCGUACAGAGCACCCAGAAG
rnacentral:lncRNA from 1 species